UAAGAAGGGUGCAAGAGUUAAUCGGAAUUACUGGGCGUAAAGCGCGCGUAGGUGGUUUGUUAAGUUGGAUGUGAAAGCCCCGGGCUCAACCUGGGAACUGCAUCCAAAACUGGCAAGCUAGAGUAUGGCAGAGGGUGGUGGAAUUUCCUGUGUAGCGGUGACAGGCGGAGAUAUAGGAAGGAACACCAGUGGCGAAGGCGACCACCUGGGCUAAUACGGAAACGGAGGUGAGAAAGCGGGGGGAGCACACAGGCUGCGAUCACACCGGAGUCC
rnacentral:rRNA from 1 species